rnacentral:misc_RNA from 1 species
AAAAAAAAAAAAAAAAACACUCAAGCAUUUGCCCAUGUACAAAUUGAACAGAUCCAGAAACAUUGUCAAUGGUGCCUAAUGUUAUCAAGUUCACAUGGAUAAGAUCCCAAAUAACGUAUCUGUAAAACCAAUUACUAAAUCCAAGAUCCCAAGUUCAGUAAAUCACAUAGAAAUCACAAAGAUACAGAGAAAAUCAAACGCUCAGUUGUUAAAAUGCUCAGGUAUGGAACCGCCCAACAAAAUAAUUUAAAAUCGUUAUAAGCCCUUAAGGUCCAAGAUAACGUAGAGUUUCACUUUCAUUCUUCUAAGAUUUCUAAAUUCAAAUCAAGUAAACAAAGCAUUCAUGUAGCAUUAGAAGUACCACUACAAAAGGUAGAGAGAGUGAAACAGAG